AAUUGUGCAAACAUGUUUAUCUCGUUUUCAGAGCGCACAAAUGGCAAUGGAAACAAUUGAAGAAGCCACGACACGAGUCAAGAAUCACCACAAAACCGCACUUUCUUUUACGCUUCCAGAAGAAAUGACCACGCAGGAAUCUUCGACAGACAUCUAUUGAAACAAAAAGAAGAAAAAAAACGAGAAACAUCCGGGCAUUCCGAGCAUCAAUAGAAGCAGCAGCAGCAGCAGCAGCACAAAUGUUAAACUUUCUCAGUCCCCGGCCAGUCGGCAUUUAAACCCCAAGAGAAGGAGGAGGAGGCUAACAAAAAGAGAGCGAAGCGAGGAAGGAAAGCGACGAAAUAGAAAACCAUUUUAAUUUUCCCUCGAACAUAAAAGCAUUGCGGCCGACAGGAACUGGAAAUGGGGAACCGAAUGCUUUCAUGUCGACGCAGCCACACCCAGGCCAUUCAUCGCCAGCAUCAUCAUCAUCAUCAUCGUCGUCGUCGUGGUCGUCCUCGACGCCGUCGCCAUUGUCGGUCGGUCGUAUUGUUUUUCUUCGGUUUGUUUCUGUUUCUGCCAAAGCAGCAGCUCGAUUCGGGUUCCAUUUGGAUGUUCCGUCCGGUUUGGAGGCCUUUGUGCGGAUGGAACUGUGCCAAAUAUUGUGCUGUGCAGCAGCCGGGCCAACCUCCAAAACAUAACACUGCCACCUUGAAAGCAUUUAUUUAUUUAUUUUCUUUCACACUUCGCACCCAGAGCGGUGACAAAUGCGGUCGCCUGACGAUGACGGCGCUUCUGGCUUUAAGAUCUGGUGAGAUGUUCGGCAUGGAAUUCCGAGUAGCAGCAGCAGCAGCAGCAGCAGCAGCCCUCGUCAAUUGAUUGUUUAUUCGUUGUUUCAGCCACGGCAAUCGCGGCGCGGAGGGGCGUGAAUGUGAAAUGAGACCGUGUGGCACAAGAAGCAGCAAAAUGGAUUGCUCGCAAUGGAUUACUUGAAUGCUGCCCGCGUGGAGAUGCCCAGCGAGCUUCGGGUUUGAUUGAAAUUCUUUCCAAUCGCUUGUUUGCAACUUUCUUUCUCUGUUUUUAGGAAGGGAUUUUGGAAUCUCUUUUCAUCUCUUGAAUGCUAAAAAGUCUGGAGCGGAUUGGAGCAAGGAUUCGUGGAAAAUCAACGCCGAGCAAGACAAGGUUGCUGGUGAAAAUGAUUUUUUAGUAAAAGCUCCCGUUGGGCCAAUCGAUAUUCCCUGGCGUGACAUCAUCAUGCAGUGAAAAAUCGAAAACCGUCGCGUUCCAACCCCAGCAGGCCUCGACAAGCACGAAAUUACAUGCAAUUAGUUGCGGCCAGCAUGGCCACCACCUGGUAACCUGGGACACCACCGUUCGAUAGAAUAUACCGUAAAAGUUUUAGAUAAAUCGUAGCAAAACCAAACAAAAUCUGUUCGUAAAGUUGGAUUACUGGAAGCUGCUUCGGCAAUGAAGCCGCUAUUGGAUUUAUGGACCUACUUGCUUCCACUGCUAUUUUUGGAUUUUUUCGCUCAGAUUCGA